AGCACGGAUUUCCCUGGCGUCAGCACUGAGCCCUCCCCGCCCCCCACCUCUCCCCAGUCCCAGUUCGUCCCAUUAUCAAGAGAGCCAGUGCUCCUAUUUUAUAAGGUACAAGAGGUCACUGUCCCAUUUGGCUCCAGGGAAGAACAUUUUCUGGCUACUUCUGCCCAGUUACCCAGCUGCAUCUCUCUCAGAAUCUCAGAUUUUGGUUUGUUUUGGAAGGUGGGAAGAAAGUACCACCGCGGUGGGGACGCAGGUGCUCAGCCCGGGUGGGGGCAAGCGGGAGGGCUUCGAUGGCUGAAGAGCAGAGGUCUUUGCAUUUCAUUUCAGAUGCUCCACCGCCCCUCACCUAUCAGGGACCCACACAGAAUCUGCCUAGAGAAAGUAUCUUGUUUGGAGCCUGCUGGCUAUUUUUAGUCAGUAUUUUUAGCAUUUAAAAAUACUCAGAAGCAGCAGCGUGUGCUGUUACUCAUCUGUGGCCUCCUUCUGUUCCUCUUGGCAUGCUCAUGGCCACAUGUACACGCGCCCAGCUCACACGACCUCAGCCACAUGGGGAAUAUGUCCCGGACACAGGUAUGGGGUGGGCGAUGGUCAGCAAGGGCACCGGUGUGAGGAGGUGAGCGCCCCCCGUCCCUGUCCUCACUCCGUGACCAGAUCCCUGUGACUAGAUCCCCGAGGUGCUGCCUCAGCCUUCUCCCUGCUUCCCUCUUUCUAGGCACACCCUUUCCAUUGAGUCCUACAGUGUCUGCAGCAACGCUGGCCUUUGAUGACACCACACUUCUGCCUGUAAGCUCCUAGAGCACCUGACUCCUACGUCCAGCAUGGAAGCUGAGAUGAAGAUCCUUAAGUCCUGAGAAGCCAAAUGACUUGCCAGAACCACAAAGCUAAUAAAUGACAGUGUGGGGCUUUGAACCCCAACUUGGCUUACGGCAAAACCUGUGCUUUUAACAAUUACCAGGAGAUUCUGGAAUGCCCUUCCGCUCCCUGCCAAUUACCUGCUUGUAAAGUCUGCUCAAAACUUGUGUUUUCCACCAAGCCCUCUCUAAAGAACUCCAUUCAGCGUGGAACAGCCCAUCACAGCAUAACCCCUGUCCACUGGUAUUCAGCUUACAUCGUGUUAAUUUAUCUUAAUAUGUUUAUCUUUGUUUUAUAAGUGUC